GAAGAGAAAAAUUAAAGUUAACUUUUGCUAGAAAAAAUUUCACCGAUGCAACGUGGAACUACCGGUGACGGGGGUGGUGGACUUUCCCGUUUCCGGUCAGCUCCGGCGACAUGGUUAGAAGCUCUACUUGAAUCCGACACUGAGAGCGAAGUUAUUCUUAACCCUUCUUCUCCCAUUUUACACACUCCCAAUAAACCACCACCUCACCCAUCAACUCCGAAGCUUAAGCUGGAAACCGGCGGAGCUACUAGGUUCACUGGCGAUCCGGGUCUGUUUGAAUCCGGUGGUAGUAGCAAUUUUCUCAGGCAGAAUAGUUCUCCGGCGGAGUUUCUUUCACAUAUCAGCUCUGAUGGUUACUUCUCAAACUAUGGAAUUCCGUCCAGUUUGGACUAUCUUUCUCCAUCCGUUGAUGUUUCGCAGUCCGCUAAGCGAACCCGAGACGAUGAUUCCGAAAGUUCCCCCAGAAAAUUAGUAUCCCAGUUGAAAGGAGAGUCAAGUGGGCAGUUACAUGGUUCUGGUGGGUCACUGGAUGCUGAAAUGGAGAAUCUCAUGGAUGAUUUGGUGCCUUGUAAGGUUCGAGCAAAGCGUGGCUGUGCUACCCAUCCUCGCAGCAUAGCGGAGCGGGUUCGUCGAACGCGUAUAAGUGACAGAAUUAGGAAGCUUCAGGAACUGGUGCCAAAUAUGGACAAGCAAAC
rnacentral:misc_RNA from 1 species